rnacentral:lncRNA from 1 species
AUAACCAUUCAACACUUUGUGGAAGAAACGGCCCGCUGCACCUCGCUGGGACUCGAAGCAUCUUGAGCGUGAUUGUGUUUGUUUAUUUAUUGUGUUGUGAAGCGCGCAGCGGUUUGAUUUAAUGUGUGUAUUCAUUUCUUUUUAGCAGCACCCUGACGGAGACGCGUGCGUCGCGCGGCUUCCACUCGCCGGGAACAGUUGGGGGUUUUAUGGAGGGCAGUCUGGCUGUUUGGACAGACUUCUUCCAGGAGGAGCGGAAGGACUGAUCGGCUUCCCGGAGCCGCAGUGUAAUUAAAAGCGGAUAUUUAGGUGCAGGUGGGUGAACAGAGCGAGAUUAGGCGAGGGGCGGGGCUAGUGUUGACAGUGGCACGCUUUAAUGAGUCCUGGCUGGAGUCCAGCUCCGUUUCCCGCACGGAGCAUCAGCAGGUUUCAUCCUAGUUUGGACGGAACCGCUCCAGAGCCGGUGCGCGCGUUUCCUGCCGCUCACAGUUAAUUAUUCAUCCAAUAGCGUCGU